UCGAACCGCAUGGUUCGAUAGUGAAAGAUGGUUUUGCUAUCACUUAUAGAUGGACCCGCGCCGUAUUAGCUAGUUGGUAAGGUAACGGCUUACCAAGGCGACGAUACGUAGCCGACCUGAGAGGGUGAUCGGCCACACUGGAACUGAGACACGGUCCAGACUCCUACGGGAGGCAGCAGUAGGGAAUCUUCCGCAAUGGGCGAAAGCCUGACGGAGCAACGCCGCGUGAGUGAUGAAGGUCUUCGGAUCGUAAAACUCUGUUAUUAGGGAAGAACAUACGUGUAAGUAACUAUGCACGUCUUGACGGUACCUAAUCAGAAAGCCACGGCUAACUACGUGCCAGCAGCCGCGGUAAUACGUAGGUGGCAAGCGUUAUCCGGAAUUAUUGGGCGUAAAGCGCGCGUAGGCGGUUUUUUAAGUCUGAUGUGAAAGCCCACGGCUCAACCGUGGAGGGUCAUUGGAAACUGGAAAACUUGAGUGCAGAAGAGGAAAGUGGAAUUCCAUGUGUAGCGGUGAAAUGCGCAGAGAUAUGGAGGAACACCAGUGGCGAAGGCGACUUUCUGGUCUGUAACUGACGCUGAUGUGCGAAAGCGUGGGGAUCAAACAGGAUUAGAUACCCUGGUAGUCCACGCCGUAAACGAUGAGUGCUAAGUGUUAGGGGGUUUCCGCCCCUUAGUGCUGCAGCUAACGCAUUAAGCACUCCGCCUGGGGAGUACGACCGCAAGGUUGAAACUCAAAGGAAUUGACGGGGACCCGCACAAGCGGUGGAGCAUGUGGUUUAAUUUCGAAGCAACGCGAAGAACCUUACCAAAUCUUGACAUCCUUUGACAACUCUAGAGAUAGAGCCUUCCCCUUCGGGGGACAAAGUGACAGGUGGUGCAUGGUUGUCGUCAGCUCGUGUCGUGAG
rnacentral:rRNA from 1 species